rnacentral:rRNA from 1 species
GACAGAGGCCUCGAGCGUUAGGCGGAAUCACUGGGCUUAAAGCGUGUGUAGGCGGGCCCGUAAGUGUCUUGUGAAAUCCCACGGCUCAACCGUGGAACUGCUGGGCAUACUGCGGGUCUUGGGCCAACUAGGGGCAGCCGGAACAAGCGGUGGAGCGGUGAAAUGCGUAGAUAUCGUUUGGAACGCCAAUGGUGAAAACAGGUUGCUGGGAGUGUGCUGACGCUGAGACACGAAAGCCAGGGGAGCAAACGGG